rnacentral:lncRNA from 1 species
GGCCUUUAGACAUUUUUAAUUCCAUCUCUGCUGAAGAUACCAUUACUGAUUUCAGGUUUGACCAAGAGUGUUCAAAAUGCAGCAGUGAAAAAGCAAUGCUACUUCUGGUGAUUCUUUUACAACUCAUACCCCUACUUCAUUUAGUGACCCUGGCUCUUAUUGGUUUCGUUUUACUAUUUUGCAGAUAUUUUUCUUGGGGAUGCUGGGAAUGGAUAAUAAAUGAAGGAGAAAAGAUAUCAGUCUACAGACAGGAGAUAAAUGUGCUUAGCUGCACUAUGAGCAACUUUUCUUCUCCUGAAUAUUCCUGAAAUUAGACAGCAUAAUUUUAAGUAGAGUAUUCUGACUGUAGAAAUAAAACCAUUGUAAUAGAAAUGUGUCAUAAGAUCAAUGUCUUCCACUUCUAAAACAAACAUCUUGGCUGUGCCUCUGUGUUUGUUUUGGCUUUAGAAGCUGAGCCCUUUAUCAAACAGUAGGAGACCAUUAUCUGGUGAUAAUGUAUUUUGAUUCUAUUGUUGUUAUUUUAAAACUGGUUUCUUCUAGGCCCAUCAUUCUGGCAUGUUUGUUUAAUGACAUGUUUAAAAAUCUUUGUAAGAGCUGUAUUACAAUGACACAUACUUUAUAUUGCCAGAAAAAAACCCACAAUCUCCAGGGCUGAUGAUAAAUUCCAGUCCUGGACUCAGCUACUGUAUACUUUAAAGCUCUUUCUUGCUUUUCAAAUGUUGGCACAGUUGUCAAUCAUUUUGUAUCAUACUUAUAGUUUGUAUGAGGAAGCCAUUUGUUAAAUUGCAGCCUCCUAGACUCAGAGAACAUUUACCAAAUUCUUUCAGAUAAAAUGCCAUCAUAUUCUGCAAAACACCAAGAAACUUUAAAGAGAAGGAAAUACACCCAAGGGAGGAAAACAGCAAAUUACAGAACAGAAAAGUGACACAGUUCUCUAUGGACCUUUUGAGUAACACUGUUUUGGAGCAAUCAUCCAGUACCAAUGUGGCAGUGGUCAUGGACUUGGUGGAACCAAGAAAGGCCCCAAAGGAUGACUAUGAAACAGCUGGUGUCAAUGAUGCGGAUGGCUGCAGUUUUAUUUGGGUGACAGCAGUUGGUAUAACAACUCUUCUACUGCUUACAUUUAAAAUACCCCAUAUAGGCAGGCACAUGCUCCUGAGGUAUGGCAAGUCUGGAGUCCCCAGUGUGGGACUUAAACUCCACAAGAGCCAAGAACAGUCUGAGAGCUACUCUUCUGGAAUUGAAUAAACAAACAAACAAAUCUGUUUUUUCUGGAUUGUCAGUUCUUCCCUGAAUUUAUCCCUUUCUCAGUAGACUUUGUAAGAUUUUAAUAAAGAAGAUCAAUAUUGUCCUUAUUUUCACUGAAAAAAAUAAGAAAAAUAAACGAAAAAAACUCUAAAGCAAAGAUUGACUGCCUUAAUGAAUAAUGUUUGCAAGAUGUUGGAUUUUUUGACUUAGUUAUAAUUGAAAAAAAGUUUUUUCUUAUUUAUCUUGAAGAAUUUCACUUUCAAAGGAUUAAGCAAUUCUCUGACUGAAAAUAAGAGUUUAAGGUAUUAAUCGCCCGGCACUUUCUGGCUGUCAUGAGGUGAGCAGCUUUGAUUUACGGCAUGCUCUGCAUCAUGAUGACCUGCUUCAUUACAAGCCCAGAAAUAAUGGAGCCAAGUGACCACAGACGGAAUCCUCUAAAACAGUGAGCCAAAAGAAAUCUUUCAAUAUUUCUCCUUUAAGUUAUUUUUCUCUGGUAUUUUUCAAAGCAAUGGAAAGCUACAACAAUACCAUACUUUGCCUUCUGGACCUUUUAUGACCCUCUCCAAGCAGGAAAAAAAAAUUCAUGCAAUACAAUUUUUGGCUAUUUGCAAUUUGCUAGAUACUUUGCAUACAUUGUGUAACUUAAUUUCUACAAUUUUUUCAUUUCUACAAUUAUCUCUACACUGAUUUUAAGCUCUUUUCACAUUAAGGAAACUGAGGACCAAGGAAGUUAUAUAACUUCCUCACAGUCACAGAGCACAUGUGGCACAGUGAGAAUUUGAACCCAGUGUCCCUGGCUCCCAAGCUGGUGCUUUCAAUCAUACUCUUCAAUAUUGAACUAUAAUGUCACAUAUUGUCUCCAAAAUGUCACCUUCUCUCAUUUCAGCCUGACUCUUCUUGGCCUUUACUACAUAAGAAAUAGAAAUGAAAUGUCUUCACCCUCCUUUGCUUACUUUGUCCGUGCUGUUGGGGUUCAUAUUCUACAUACAUAACAGUUGCUGGUUUGUAUCUUACUAUUUUGAAAGAGAAAAAGAAUGCAACAGCCAAAAAUAAGUCUUAGAAAUAUCACUUGAUAGUCUAGUGGGUUUUUUAUUUUUCAUUUAUAUCUCCAGUUGAUACAUACAACCAUUCAUUCAUCACUCAUUUAGAGCAGAUUAUUUGGAUAUUUCUUAAACACAGAUGGAUAUUCCCUUAGUAACUCUCUUCUUAUUUAAAAAAUAAUUUAUCCAAAUAAAUGUUUUAUGAAAAAAUGAGUAAAUAAUCCACAUCUUCCUUCAUUUCAAAAUGCGAGAAAUAGGUAGAUCCUAAAAGCUACUCCAUUCUCUCAGUUUUCAUGAUGGGAUGACUGAGAACAACAUGGGAUUAUGAACUGGAUUAUAAGGGAGUAAGAUUGAAAUUGAGCCUAGCCAGAAGUUUAUAAAUCCAGUUGCUAAUUUGUCUAGACAUAAGAAAAAGGCCAAGGCCAUGAAACUUCCAACUCAAAGAUAGAAGGUGUCUCUUCAGUGGUAUUAUUUACAAAUAGUAAUAUUUUCAUUUGUGAUGAAAUGAGGAAUUUCUCCAUUGGAUGGUAGAAGAGUAAAGUUUGGUAAACUGAAAAUUAUCUAUUAUGCUCUUUGCUUUAUUUCAAUAUGAGAUCAUAAAAUUUUUCUUCUCUCUUAUGACUGGCACCUUAAAGUAUACCAAGCUCAUUCUCUGACUAGAAAAAAUAUCAUAGAGUUUAAAAAUGAAAGUAAUGUCGAUUUCCAACAAUGUAAUAUAAAUGAAACUUGAAUACUUCACUUCUUCUCUUCCUUUGAAGUGCCUGUUCCACUCAGCUGAAAAUAACUAGAUGAUGGUAAAAGAAGUAAGGUGGUUGUAAUAUCAUAAUUUUUGUUAGUCAAAUUAUUAAUAUUUCAUGCCAACUUCAAGUCACAACAGUAUCCGAAAUCUUUAAAAUUACAGUAACACCUAUGUGGUCCACUUUUCACAUUUAGGCUCCAGAAUUUAUUUUUAACAUCACUG